rnacentral:rRNA from 1 species
CCUACGGGUGGCAGCAGUGAGGAAUAUUGGUCAAUGGGCGCGAGCCUGAACCAGCCAAGUCGCGUGAGGGAAGACGGUCCUAUGGAUUGUAAACCUCUUUUGUCGGGGAGCAAAAGACGCCACGCGUGGCGUUCCGAGAGUACCCGAAGAAAAAGCAUCGGCUAACUCCGUGCCAGCAGCCGCGGUAAUACGGAGGAUGCGAGCGUUAUCCGGAUUUAUUGGGUUUAAAGGGUGCGCAGGCGGAAGAGCAAGUCAGCGGUAAAAUUGAGAGGCUCAACCUCUUCGAGCCGUUGAAACUGGUUUGCUUGAGUGAGCGAGAGGUAUGCGGAAUGCGUGGUGUAGCGGUGAAAUGCAUAGAUAUCACGCAGAACUCCGAUUGCGAAGGCAGCAUACCGGCGCUCAACUGACGCUCAUGCACGAAAGUGUGGGUAUCGAACAGGAUUAGAUACCCUAGUAGUC